GGAGCGAGCAAGUAAAUCUACCCGAAGAAUUAGAAUCAUACCCGAGGAAUUAGGGCUUGGUUCGUGGUCUCGUUUGCUUCCGCUUAUUGAAGGAUUAGGGUUUCUUCCAGGAAGACCAGUCCCGAGAAGGGAAGCGUAGAGAAGUCCUCUCGCCAUGGGCGACGAGUACGAGGGGCUGGAACGGUUCGGAAUGGAGAAUGACUACGAGGGCGGUGAGUGGAUCGGCGGCGAGUUCUACUAUCGCCGGAAGAAGGAGCGCCCCGUCCAGACCCGAGACGACGUCAUCUACGGUGCCUUCGCCGCCGGAUCCAGCGACUCCGAUUCCGACGGUGGCGGAGGCCGCCGUUCCCGGAAGCGCCGCAAGGGGGACCUCGUCUCCAAGCCCGACCUCUCCAAGCCCGUACGCUUCGUCUCUACCGGUACCGUCAUGCCCAACCAGGAAAUCGAUCGGGAUCUCAAGGAGGAGGGUAACCGUGCCGCCGAGGCUCCUGAUCUUAGCCAGGGGCUGGGAUAUGGCUUAGGGUUCCGGGCCGACAAAAAGGAGCCCGAGGGCGAUGAGGAUGAGGACGAGGAUAGCUUCCUCCCGACGGCCUUUGGGAGGAAAAUCAAGGAAGGGGCGCAGCGACGGGAGAAGGAGAAGGAGUGGGAGAGAGAGAAAUCGAAGACGGCCAAGAAACCCCUUGGGAAAAGGGACGUUUCAGGUGCGGACGAGAUUGGGAAGUUCCAGUCUUACACGAAGGGCAUAGGAUUUAAGCUCAUGAAGAUGAUGGGGUACAAGGAAGGAUCUGGAUUGGGGAAGAAUGAGCAAGGUAUUGUUGCCCCAAUUGAGGCGAAGCUCCGUCCAAAGAACAUGGGAAUGGGGUUCAAUGACUACAAAGAAGCCAAAUUGCCAGCCCUGGACGAGCCACUGCAGGAGAAGGCGGCCUCCUCAGUACUGCCCGGACGUUCAAAGGAAAAGAGGUGGUUGAAGCAGAAACAAGGGAAGAAGAAAGUUGAAAUUUUGACAGCGGAUGAGCUGCUUGCCAAGAAGCAGGAACAAGGUAUCGAGGUUGUCCAGAAGGUUCUUGAUAUGAGGGGACCACAAGUUAAGGUUUUGAUGAGUCUGGAGAAUUUGAAUGCCGAGGACGAGAUGAAAGAGAAUGAGGUGCCCAUGCCUGAGCUCCAGUAUAAUGUGAGGCUAAUUGUGGACUCUACCGAGGUUGACAUACAAAAGCUUGAUCGGGAUUUGAGGAGGGAGAGGGAGAAGGUGGUUAGCUUGCAGAUGGAGAAAGAGAAGAUUUUGAAGGAAGAGAUGAGACAGAGGCAGCAGCUACAAGUGAUGGAGACGAUUGCUAGAGUAUUAGAAAGGGUGAAAGAUGAUAACUUGUCAGGGGUGCUGACACUUGAUUCACUGUUGGCUACAUUCAGAGACAUUAAAGAGAGGUUCAGGGAGGACUACAAGCUCUGCAACAUCUCUUGUGUUGCCUGUGCAUUUGCAUACCCCUUACUGCUCCGUGUUUUUCAAGGAUGGGAGCCAUUGCAGAAUCCCUUGCAUGGCAUGAGUCUUAUAUCAUCUUGGAGGGACUUGUUGCAAGGGGAUCAACCUCAUGAUUUCUCCGAAAAUAUUUCGACUGCUUCUCCUUAUGCUCAGCUGGUCAGCGAGGUUAUUCUCCCUGCAGUGAGGAUAUCGGGGACUAACACAUGGCAGGCUAGGGAUCCAGAGCCAAUGCUUCGAUUUUUGGAAGCAUGGGAAAGGUUACUGCCUCCGGUGGUUCUGCAGUCAGUUUUGGAGAAUGUGGUUAUGCCAAAGCUAACGGCCGCUGUUGAGACAUGGGAUCCACGUCGAGAGACUGUUCCGAUUCAUGUUUGGGUUCACCCAUGGCUCCCCUUGCUAGGACAGAGAUUGGAGACCUUAUACCAAACAAUUCACUACAAGCUAGGUAGUGUUCUUCAUGUUUGGCAUGCAAGUGAUGCAUCAGCUUAUGCUGUACUUUCUCCAUGGAAGGAUGUUUUUGAUGCAGCUAGUUGGGAGGAUCUGAUGGUGCGGUAUAUUGUUCCAAAGUUAAGGAUUUCUCUGCAGGAAUUUCAAGUGAACCCAGCUAAUCAGAAUUUAGAUCAGUUUAAUUGGGUGAUGAUGUGGGCAUCUGUGAUCCCAAUUCACCAUAUGGUUCACAUGUUGGAGGUUGAUUUCUUCAGCAAGUGGCAGCAAGUGUUAUAUCAUUGGCUGUGCUCAAAUCCUAACUACAAUGAAGUUAUGCAGUGGUAUAUGGGUUGGAAGGGCCUCUUCCCAGCAGAACUACUAGCCAAUGAGCGGAUUCGAAUGCUCCUAAGUGCAGGUUUGGAUAUGAUGAACCAGGCUGUAGAAGGCAUGGAAGUGGUGCAACCUGGUGCUAGAGAGAAUGUCAGCUAUCUAAGAGCUACAGAAAAGCGACAGUUUGAAGCACAGCAGCAGACAGCGGCUUAUUCAUCAGUCCAUGUAAAUGGUAUGGCCAGUGUGCAUGAAAUGAGCUUUAAGGAAUCUAUUGAGGCUUAUGCAAUGGAGCAAGGCCUCCUCUUCUUACCCAAAGUUGGUAGAUCUUAUAAUGGUCUCCCUGUAUAUGGCUUUGGCAAUGUAAGCAUUUGUAUAGACUCAGUGAAGCAACUGCUUUAUGCACAAGUCCAGGAGGGAACUGAGAGAUGGAGUGCUGUAUCGCUCACACAGUUGCUGGAGAUGCAUCAGAAUGCCGCUCGUCGUUGAAUCAAUGUCAUUCUUCUCACCCCCACAUUGCCUGCAUUAAACUAGCAGUAGGCCAUGGCAGUGAGAAGAAGGGGAGGAUCUUAUGGCAGAUACACUUUGUGUUGUUUUAGCCUCACCUUGGUUCCCCACUUUGACAACCUUGACAUCCUUCAUCGCUGUCCAUGUCUGCUUUCCAUCAUCAUCAGCAAGGGCAAGCAAGUGAGAUCCUCAGUACUAGGAAGAAUUCUUACUGCCGACACCUGUGAGUUAAACAAAUUAUGCAGGUAAUGGACUUUCUCUCAGCUAUUGGAAACUUCGUUAAUAAAUCUGGAUAAGAUCUGUGGGGAAGCAAAUAUCAAGUUGGUCAUUCCACGCUCUUAUGGUCUUACAGGUAUGGUUAGAAUAAGCAUCAAGGUAACCAAAAAAGUAUAUAGAUGGUUAUAGAUCUUGCUUCCUUUUCUAAGUCUCCAUACAUCUGUUUCUCAUUCACACAAGUAAUUUUAUUGGAUGCCCAUGUGAGUUCUCCUUUUAACAUUGAUAGGAGCACAUCAUAAUUGAGAUAAAACCUGAUCAUUUUCUAGACGACCUUUGAAUUCACAAUCCUGGUCUGAGCUCAUAGAGUGAGUAUUUUAUGUCAUUUUUUAAAAAAUAUUAAAAUAACAAACACGGUUGACUUAUUAUUGUAUUUAAGUUUCUUUAUUUUUCACUUGUAAUGAUUUCGAGACCUUACCUUACUCUCUGUUUGAUUUGAGCUCUGGUGAUAAACAUUAAUAACCCUUAUGUAUUCUUAUUAUUGUAUAAUUUUAAGGGUUCUGAAAAACAAUUGACUUAAGUGUCAUAGAUCCAGUUAUACACAAACAUAAGACAUAUAUAGUUAUUCUUAUUAACCUCGCAGAAAACAAUGAGCCAAAGAAUAUGUUGGAUGCUUGCUAUCUAAAAGAAAGACUUUUAAGGGGCAGGAUUUGAUUUCUGUAGGCUUAUGUUUUUUUAGUAUGUACUAGGGGUAUUUAAAUCAAUUCGAAUUGAACUGUUAAGGGUUAAAUCGAUCUGAAUCAUUUUUUCGGUUCGAUUCGAUUAAAAUAAGGUAGUUCGAAUUGGAACCGAUAUGGAUCUACCCACUCAAAUCGAUUCAAAAUCGAUUAAUCUGAUUUGAUUAACUAAUUUAU